ACGGGUAGCCGGCCUGAGAGGGCGACCGGCCACACUGGGACUGAGACACGGCCCAGACUCCUACGGGAGGCAGCAGUGGGGAAUAUUGCACAAUGGGCGAAAGCCUGAUGCAGCGACGCCGCGUGAGGGAUGACGGCCUUCGGGUUGUAAACCUCUUUCAGCAGGGAAGAAGCGAAAGUGACGGUACCUGCAGAAGAAGCGCCGGCUAACUACGUGCCAGCAGCCGCGGUAAUACGUAGGGCGCAAGCGUUGUCCGGAAUUAUUGGGCGUAAAGAGCUCGUAGGCGGCUUGUCACGUCGGAUGUGAAAGCCCGGGGCUUAACCCCGGGUCUGCAUUCGAUACGGGCUAGCUAGAGUGUGGUAGGGGAGAUCGGAAUUCCUGGUGUAGCGGUGAAAUGCGCAGAUAUCAGGAGGAACACCGGUGGCGAAGGCGGAUCUCUGGGCCAUUUACUGACGCUGAGGAGCGAAAGCGUGGGGAGCGAACAGGAUUAGAUACCCUGGUAGUCCACGCCGUAAACGUUGGGAACUAGGUGUUGGGGACAUUCCACGUCGUCCGUGCCGCAGCUAACGCAUUAAGUUCCCCCGCCUGGGGAGUACGG
rnacentral:rRNA from 1 species